rnacentral:tRNA from 1 species
GGCUCGUUGGUUUAGGGGUAUGAUUCUCGCUUUGGGUGCGAGAGGUCCGGGUUCAAAUCCCGGAUGAGCCC